UCAUGUUCUGCAACAGGCAUUAGCUUUACCGUUUUCCUUCUUAUUUGUCGCAGCUGAAACUGAGAAUUUCGGAAAUUGGAAGGGAAAAAUGGCUUGUUUACAUGAUCAUAGCUGUGAAGAUCACGAUUGCUCCUCUAAUUGGUCUCUCUACAAGCACAUAGACCUCUCUAAGGUAUCGGCUCUGAACGAAGCGGUUCGGGGAAGUGUUAAGUCAGUUUUUAAAGCUUGGGAACAGCGCCUGGACUCUUCCGGGGAACACUUGGAAAGCAACGAGGGUGAUCCUGAAUUGCUUGUUUAUAUCCCAUUUACAUCGGAUGUUAAGAUAAAAAGCAUUUCAAUUAUUGGUGAUGCUGAUGGAACAAGCCCUUCAAAGAUGAGAGUGUUCACCAAUCGAGAUGGCAUUGAUUUCUCAGACGCUCAUGGUAUGCAAGCUGUCCAGGAGUGGGAUCUGGUUGAAAAUUUGCAAGGAGUGCUAGAGUACCAGACAAGAUAUGCCAAAUUUCAAAGUGUGUCAAGCAUCACAUUGCAUUUCCCUGAUAAUUUUGGCGGUGAUACAAGUCGCAUACACUAUAUUGGCUUUAAAGGUGAAGCCACCCAGUUGAAGAGGGAUGUUGUUGCAACAAUUGUUUAUGAACUUAGGCCCAAUCCCUCAGACCACAAGACACGCGCAGAACAGGAUAGACCUUUUCAAAUGUGGAAUGGAGAAUAAAUGCUGGGUGAUGUUUCUUAAUAAAAAGGAAUAAAUCAAACUUUGUGUACAUUUGAUAAUGUUCGAAAGCCGUUGUGGCAUGGCAUCUUUUACUCCCAUCUCUCCUUAUCCCCUUUUCUGAUAAUUGCGUGCAAUGUGCAGGAAGGAAAAGAUAUUGAUAUACUUGUGGCUCGGAUCUUUUACUUUAGUUAUUGACUAAUG
rnacentral:misc_RNA from 1 species